UACGAAGGGUGCAAACGUUGCUCGGAAUUAUUGGGCGUAAAGCGCACGUAGGCGGCAUUGCAAGUCCCAUGUGAAAGCCCACGGCUCAACCGUGGAAGUGCAUGGGAAACUGCAGUGCUUGAGUACUUAAGAGGAUCGCGGAAUUCCCGGUGUAGAGGUGAAAUUCGUAGAUAUCGGGAGGAACACCAGUGGCGAAGGCGGCGAUCUGGGAAGAUACUGACGCUGAGGCGCGAAAGCGUGGGGAGCAAACAGG
rnacentral:rRNA from 1 species